rnacentral:lncRNA from 1 species
UGAGAAAGUGGAGCAAUUUCAUAACUGGACGUAGACAAAAUUAUGAACUGGACUUGUUUUGUUUCACUUUAUAAUGGACUCAGAAUGACACUUAUUUGAAGAUGGUAUUCAGUGAGAUUAUUUUUGUGAAUUGCACAGCCUGGCUAUCUUUGCAUGGAUGUGUUCUUCAUUUAUCAUGGUACAUUCCUAGGAGUGGAAUUGCUGUGUCAUAUGAGAAGAAUAUAUCCAGGCUGAUCCAUCAAUCCCAGAAGGAGAACAAGAAACACAUGGAGCAGAGCUAAGUUACCCAGCCUAGCUCAGCCUAGAUCAGCAUCCUGUAACAGGCCCCCAGCCUUGUGGGCUAAAUAAACAUGUGUUGUUGUAUGUUACUGUGUUGUUUUUACUUAGCACUCUGUGGCAAUAGCUGAUAUACCUUCUGUGAUCGCCCUGUUUAAAAUUUAAUGUGCACAAGAUAUAAAACCCAAAAUGCACAGAUGUGUUAGUAUCACAUCAUCUAUAAGAUUCUCUUUAAUUUACUGACCAUUUUAAAAUUUAGUACAUUACUCUUCUUUUUUGGCAAAAAGGCACCCGACUUGCAUGGUUUUCUGUGAGAACUAAGCUUUUGCAUGACUUGUUCAUGCCUUUGUAUCCAAUCAGAGCAACACUGACAGCAGAUGCUUUGGAUAUAAUUUCCCAUUCAUCUUAGUUUUUUCUUCACAACAUUUGAUUCUUGCAGUUGCUGGAAUGAUUUCCAGAAUGAGAUUCAUUGUAUAAGCUUUGAGUCAGGAAUUUUAGCAUUUUAGAAUAAACAAAUGCACACAGAUUGUUCCUAAAGAACAGGCUUAGGGCCCAGAAAUUACAGUACUCCAAUCAUUCUCUUGCCAUUUUUAGUUACUUCAUAGCUUGGUAAAAUAAGCUGUUUCCAGGCAUUCCAUGCAUUUUUUUGUCCCUAGUUCACCAGCCCUUUUCCACAGUUCUCUUGGGUAUUCUCUUUAGAACUUAAUAUUUAAGCAUGGAUAUAAAAACAAUUUGCAACAUGAGAUUUAGCUGUGUGUGCAAAAUUUUAUUUAUUUAUUUUUUUACAUAUGGUUGAGAGAGUUCAUAGCUUUU